rnacentral:lncRNA from 1 species
CACGCUUCCUCUCCGCAACAUGCAAAUGUCGGGCUGUCACAGAUGGCUGCAAAGUCACAGCCCGGUGUUCCCAGCAGCGAGCGUGGGAUUUCAUAGGGCUAGGCCUUCAUUUUGUAAACCCUCCUCGACUGCAGUUGGUGAGUUUUCUGCAAGCCGGCAUUGCCUCGGGAGGACAAUCGUUUUCCCGGGGAUCAAAAGGCAGGCAGGCCUCGCCCCUUGGCUUCCCCAUCUGAAAAGUGGGGCCCGACUAGCACUUUCCUCACCAGGCCAGUGAAGGGCAUAGCUUACGAACAUUAUUAAGCACCUUGUGCAUACUGGAGGUUGGGUCCUCGGGGGGCAACCAGAUGUGGACCCUGCCCUUGAGGGGCUGGUGGGGAAGACAGGUUUCCACAGGCAACUAAAAUUCAGAAUGGUGCACACGAUGGAGCAGUGAUGGGCACAUCUUGGGGGCAGCUAGAGGAGGGGGCUCUCCGGGGGGCCUGGACUUCUGAGCAUGGGCGUAGGGAAGGACGAGAGAGCCGGCGGCAUUCGGGGUGGACACGGGUCCGUGGAGGGCACUGCAUGGGGGGCAGGGGACGAGGGGUGGCACCUGGCUCCACUGGGCCCCUGCUUUAUUGGCAAGACUGGACCACCUGGCACCUUCAACAAGGCUGUUUUGAAGAGAUCUCUGUGACAGAACGACAGCCAGAGAUGUUGGUAGGUCCAGGUCAGCCCGACGGUGGGUCACGAUCACCAUGUUCCCGCCCCACUGCAUCCUCACCAGCACGCGGGGCCCGGCUGCUGUUACUACGCUGGCGGGUGAUUCAUGACCGUGACACCCACGUGGAAGCCAGGCCGGCUCGCUGGCCUCGCCGUCUUACUGCAGCUAAGGAGGACCGGGACCGGAGACAGGACAUGGUCUCCCCGCGUGCACGGUGUGCGGCCUCUGCAGGUGCCUGUGGUUCUCUAAGUGUCUCCAAACAAGGAGUUUAAGAGCCAAGUCCGUGCCAAUCUCUACGCCUGCAGGGGAGCCGUAAACCUGGCAUCGUCACCGCGCACCCCUCUCCGAUUAGUCCUUCGUCCUCAAACAGCUACAUCUUGCACGUGCGGGCUCCACGGCCCCCGAGAAACCACAGUGUCCCGUGGGAACACCCACCCGCAGCACCUGGGGACCACGAAGAUGGAGACAGGACCCGUCUCCAGGGAGCGGAGAAAUGCAGGCCGGUCCCCCAGCCCCUCCCAGGGCCCAUCUGCGCUGAGUGACAAUCUCCUCCUAAUGAGAAGCAAUAAAGGCUAAUUAUCCACAGUUUCA